UGCAAAUUGUUAAACUUCAUGUGUUACUCUCUUCGUCUCUGAUGUGAGUUUAUCUCAGGACUUCCCAAAUCGAUAUUGAAAGUUUUUCUGUAGGGGUUAGUCCGACAAAAUAUACCAAUAUCUACUCAAGCAGUUUUUUUAGUUCAAUAACCAAACUAGACUCCAUGUCUAAUCAGAUUAAGGAAGGCUAUUUAACCUAAGCACCAUGCUUAAUUUAAAUGCCAAUGGAAGUAUGGCGAGUACUUCCAAACCAACACUUGCUAGUAAAUAGACAAAGGUAGCAUGACAGCGUUUAUAGAGAUCUACUCAAGUGGAGAUGAAGUAGUGUGAUUAGUAUUUAACAAAUUGAG
rnacentral:lncRNA from 1 species